UCCGGAUUAACUCCGGCAGUCUCGCUAGAGUGCCCAACUUAAUGAUGGCAACUAACGAUAAGGGUUGCGCUCGUUGCUGGACUUAACCAAACACCUCACGGCACGAGCUGACGACAGCCAUGCAGCACCUUCUUUGAGGUCCCUUGCGGGAACAGCGACAUCUCUGCCACCUUCUUCUAGAUUUAACCCAGGUAAGGUUCUUCGCGUUGCAUCGAAUUAAACCACAUGCUCCACUGCUUGUGCGGGCCCCCGUCAAUUCUUUUGAGUUUCAACCUUGCGGCCGUACUCCUCAGGCGGUGUACUUAUCGCGUUAGCUACGACACAGGAGCGGGUUGACCCCUCCCCUACAUCUAGUACACAUCGUUUACGGCAUGGACUAC
rnacentral:misc_RNA from 1 species